GGCGGAAUUGACCUGCUGCAGGGAGAGUUGUCCGGUUUUUGACUUUUAUUAUUACUCUCUGUUCCGGGAGAUCUAGAGCAGAGGAUGAGAACGACUUCCUGCAGCUGAGUUUUGACCUGUUCUGGAUCUUACUUCAUUAUUCACAACAGCCAGAAGGUGGAAACAACCCAAACAUCCAUCAACAGAUGAAUGAAUCGACAAAAUGUGGUCUAUCCACACAAUGGAAUAUUACUCAGCCGUGAAAAGGAAUGGAUGCAUGCUACGGCAUGGAAACUUGAAAACGUGAUGCUAAGUGAACUCCCCUGGUGGCGUAGUGGUUAAGAAUCCACCUGACAAUGCAGGGGACACGGGUUUGAGCCCUGCUCCAGGAAGAUCCUACAUGCUGCUGAAGCAACUAAGCCUGUGUGCCACAACUACUGAGCCCGUGUGCCACAACUACUGAAGCCUGAGCGCCUAGAGCCUGUUCUCCACAACAGGCGAAGUCACCGCAAUGAGAAGCCUGCGCACCAUAACAAAGAGUAGCCCAUGCUCACCUCAACUAGAGAAGGCCCUUGCACAGCAACGAA